rnacentral:rRNA from 1 species
ACGCUCGACACCUACGAGAGGCAGCAGUGAGGAAUAUUGGUCAAUGGACGCAAGUCUGAACCAGCCAUGCCGCGUGCAGGAUGACGGCUCUAUGAGUUGUAAACUGCUUUUGUACGAGGGUAAACGCAGAUACGUGUAUCUGUCUGAAAGUAUCGUACGAAUAAGGAUCGGCUAACUCCGUGCCAGUAGCCGCGGUAAUCUGAGCGGGCUGGCAAGGC